rnacentral:pre_miRNA from 15 species
CCCUCCCGGCCGUCACCAUGUUGUAGUGUGUGUAAACAUCCUACACUCUCAGCUGUGAGCUCAAGGUGGCUGGGAGAGGGGUGUUUACUCCUGCUGCCGUGGAAAUCGUCUUCUGGAGAAG